AGGUGCUGCACGGCUGUCGUCAGCUCGUGUCGUGAGAUGUUGGGUUAAGUCCCGCAACGAGCGCAACCCUCGUCACUAGUUACUAACGGUUCGGCCGAGGACUCUAGUGAGACUGCCUUCGUAAGGAGGAGGAAGGUGAGGACGACGUCAAGUCAUCAUGGCCCUUACGGCUAGGGCAACACACGUGCUACAAUGGUUGGGACAGUGAGACGCGAUACCGCGAGGUGGAGCAAAUCUAUAAACCCAAUCUCAGUUCGGAUUGUAGUCUGCAACUCGACUACAUGAAGCUGGAAUCACUAGUAAUCGUAGAUCAGCUAUGCUACGGUGAAUACGUUCCCGGGUCUUGUACUCACCGCCCGUCACACCAUGGGAGUUGAUUUCACCCGAAGCGGGGAAGCUAAACUGGCUACCCUCCACGGUGGAAUCAGCGACUGGGGUGAAGUUCUAGCAACAUA
rnacentral:rRNA from 1 species